rnacentral:rRNA from 1 species
AAACGCCUGGCGGGUGCUUACACAUGCAGUCGAACGAGGUCAUCCGAUCUUCGGAUUGGUGAAGACUAGUGGCGAACGGGUGCGUAACACGUGAGAAACCUGCCCCGGUCUCUGGGAUAACAGUUGGAAACGACUGCUAAUACCGGAUGCCGUCGGACCGUCGCAUGGCGGACCGACGAAAGGGUUACCGGAUCGGGAGGGUCUCGCGGCCUAUCAGCUUGUUGGUGAGGUAACGGCUCACCAAGGCAUCGACGGGUAGCUGGUCUGAGAGGAUGAUCAGCCACACUGGGACUGAGACACGGCCCAGACUCCUACGGGAGGCAGCAGUGGGGAAUAUUGCACAAUGGGCGAAAAGCCUGAUUGCAGAACGCCGCGUGCGGGAUGAAUGCCUAAGGUUGUAAACCGCUUUCAGCAGGGAAGAAAAUGACGGUACCUGUAGAAGAGGUUGCGGCCAACUACGUGCCAGCAGCCGCGGUGACACGUAUGCACCCAGCGUUGUCCGGAUUUAUUGGGCGUAAAGAGCUCGUAAGCGGUCCGAUAGUCGGGUGUGAAAACUCUGGGGUCUAACCAGAGAAGCCACCGAUAUUGGUGUGACUAGAGUGCGGCAGGGACCGGGAAAUCCUAGUGAACCGGGAAUUCCCAUAUUUGGGGACACCGUGCAACGGCCCCCUGGGCCGAAUAGCGCAUAGGAGCAAAGCGGGA